UGCGGGGUGGAGCAGUUGGUAGCUCGUUGGGCUCAUAACCCAAAGGUCGUUAGUUCGAGUCUGACCCCCGCUACUA
rnacentral:tRNA from 1 species